AUGGAGGUGUUGAGCAGGAACAUACUGAUGGAGGAGGAAUGCAUCGGCGAGGUUGUUCUUUUUCACACACGUUGCGUCAUGAAGGAACGGUGUGUCAACUUGACGAUCGAUGAAGGUUCUGCGGUCAACAUGGUGAGCAUCGAGGUGGUGGACAAAUUGGGACUGAAUAUGGCACCUCUGGAAAGACCGUACACACUGAAGUGGUUCAAAGGUGAAAUAAAAACCACGCAUCGAAUUUUGCUAAUUUUUGAUUUGGGAAAAUAUUGUUGUGCGGAAUUUUUUUAUGUUUGUCUUCUGCCAUGGUGUCAUGCCAUAUGCUACUUGGAAAUCCAUGGUGCAAGUGCAUCGGAGUUGUUCAGAAUUCCAAGAAAAAUACUUAUUCACUAUCAUGGAAGGGCCAACGAGUUUGUUUUACUCCAAUGCCAGCAGAUGUAUUUGUUUCAGACUGAAAAAGUCGUUUGCUGA
rnacentral:rRNA from 1 species